UCCCUGGUGGUCCAGUGGUUAGGAUAUUGCACUUUCACUGUGGUGGCCCAGGUUCAGUUCCUAGUUGGGGAA
rnacentral:tRNA from 1 species